rnacentral:lncRNA from 1 species
CUUAACCUGAAGCACCACUUUAGCUAAUGGGGCCUCCUGCUGCUGCCGCACCGCUGGAGCACGAUUUCUGUUCUCAUCCUGAAGCAAAGUUCUUAACCUGAAGCACUAUUUCUGGGUUAGCGGAGUCUGUAACCUGAAGCGUAUGUAACCCGAUGUACCACUGUACCCCAAAACAUUUUUUUAGAAAAGCACUGAGUAUAGUUAUGGAUAUCAUGCCAUCCCAAAGGCUCUGCACUAUACACAAGGACCACAACAUAUGCUUUGCUCCGAUGGCAUGGGCAUCUCUAACUGGCCUCUAGGCGUCACUGGACUCCCAUCACAUCUGGCAAAUGGCCUUGCUGGCUUAGGGCUGAUGGGAAUUGGAGUCCCGCAAUUCCCUUCCUACUUCACAGCAUAUUUCUGCUGACUCUUCUUUGGGAAAAGCCGAAGCUCAAGGAUACCACCGGCAGGCAGCGUCCGCAAACGCCACCUCCGCAGUGCCAUAGGGCCAGGGCCCGUUUUGCAGGCAGAAGGUCCCGGGUUCAAAUCCCCGAUGGGGCAGCUCAGGGCAGGACAGGGAAUGUGACCCUGCAGGGCAGCUGCCAGUCAGUGCGGACAAUGCUGAGGUCAAUGAUGGGUCUGCUUCAGGGGUAAGUCGUUUUCCUGCGUUCCUCGUUAAGUAGGUACAUUGCAUUAAGUAAAACGACCCCUGGAAAAAGCCCCCCCACCCCCCGCUCAGCCGGGGCUGACUUCUGAGCAGGCGCUCGUGACGUCACUUCCCCGCCCCGGGGAACCCCGCGCUCCUCCCUUGACGACGUUCCCGUUGCCAAGGUGAGACGUGGCGGGCAGGGGAAGGAGGAGGGUUCGGCUGUUUCCAUGGCGACGGGUAAACAGGAGGCGGAGCUUCCCGGAGCCGGCAGCGGAGGGCGAGAUGCCGGGCAGUGUAUGCUCCUUGGGUGCUACCUCCACCAGCUCCUCGGGCCGGUCCCGCUCGCGCUCCCACGCCCGCUACAGAACCAAGGCUGCCAGCUCAGAAGUGGACGAGAGCCUCUUUGGGCUUGCCAAGGUGAGGACGGAGGGGAGCAGUGGCUGCUUUGGGCUAAGAGCAUCUGCCUGGCAUGCAGAAGGUCCCAGACCUUCAAUCCCUGACACCUCCCUUUAGGGCUGGGGAUACCCCAGCCUGAAACACUGGAAAGCUGUUGCCACUAUACUGAACUAAUGAUCUGACUGGGUAGAAGGCAGAUUCCGGUGUUCCUCUUUAAAUCAGACCUGUAUUUAGA